rnacentral:rRNA from 1 species
CCUACGGGUGGCAGCAGUGGGGAAUAUUGGACAAUGGGGGCAACCCUGAUCCAGCCAUGCCGCGUGUGUGAAGAAGGCCCUCGGGUUGUAAAGCACUUUCAGUGAGGAAGAACGCCUGGUGGUUAAUACCCAUCAGGAAAGACAUCACUCACAGAAGAAGCACCGGCUAACUCCGUGCCAGCAGCCGCGGUAAUACGGAGGGUGCAAGCGUUAAUCGGAAUUACUGGGCGUAAAGCGCGCGUAGGUGGCUUGAUAAGCCGGUUGUGAAAGCCCCGGGCUCAACCUGGGAACGGCAUCCGGAACUGUCAAGCUAGAGUGCAGGAGAGGAAGGUAGAAUUCCCGGUGUAGCGGUGAAAUGCGUAGAGAUCGGGAGGAAUACCAGUGGCGAAGGCGGCCUUCUGGACUGACACUGACACUGAGGUGCGAAAGCGUGGGUAGCAAACAGGAUUAGAUACCCGGGUAGUC